rnacentral:rRNA from 1 species
GAUUGAACGCUGGCGGCAGGCUUAACACAUGCAAGUCGAGCGGGGGAAGGUAGCUUGCUACUGGACCUAGCGGCGGACGGGUGAGUAAUGCUUAGGAAUCUGCCUAUUAGUGGGGGACAACAUCUCGAAAGGGAUGCUAAUACCGCAUACGUCCUACGGGAGAAAGCAGGGGAUCUUCGGACCUUGCGCUAAUAGAUGAGCCUAAGUCGGAUUAGCUAGUUGGUGGGGUAAAGGCCUACCAAGGCGACGAUCUGUAGCGGGUCUGAGAGGAUGAUCCGCCACACUGGGACUGAGACACGGCCCAGACUCCUACGGGAGGCAGCAGUGGGGAAUAUUGGACAAUGGGGGGAACCCUGAUCCAGCCAUGCCGCGUGUGUGAAGAAGGCCUUAUGGUUGUAAAGCACUUAAGCGAGGAGGAGGCUACUUUAGUAAUACCUAGAGAUA